UACAGAGGUCCCAAGCGUUGUUCGGAUUCAUUGGGCGUAAAGGGUGCGUAGGCGGCGCGGUAAGUCGGGUGUGAAAUCUCGGAGCUUAACUCCGAAACUGCAUUCGAUACUGUCGUGCUUGAGGACUGGAGAGGAGACUGGAAUUUACGGUGUAGCGGUGAAAUGCGUAGAUAUCGUAAGGAAGACCAGUGGCGAAGGCGGGUCUCUGGACAGUUCCUGACGCUGAGGCACGAAGGCUAGGGGAGCAAACGGG
rnacentral:rRNA from 1 species